rnacentral:rRNA from 1 species
GAUGAACGCUGGCGGCAUGCCUAAGACAUGCAAGUCGAACGAGGUGGCCCAUUGAAGUCUGAGUGCUUGCACAAAGAUGGAUUUGGAUUUUCCACCUAGUGGCAAACGGGUGAGUAACACGUGGGUUACCUGCCUCUAAGUUGGGGAUAACAACUGGAAACGGUUGAUAAUACCGAAUGUGCUCUACGGAGUAAAGAAGCCCUUAAAGCUUCGCUUAGAGAUGGGCCUGCGGCGUAUUAGUUAGUUGGUGGGGUAAUGGCCUACCAAGACAGCGAUGCGUAGCCGAACUGAGAGGUUGAUCGGCCACAUUGGGACUGAGACACGGCCCAAACUCCUACGGGAGGCAGCAGUAGGGAAUCUUCCACAAUGGGCGAAAGCCUGAUGGAGCAACGCCGCGUGGGUGAAGAAGGUCUUCGGAUCGUAAAACCCUGUUGUUAGAGAAGAAAGUGCGUGAGAGUAACUGUUCACGUUUCGACGGUAUCUAACCAGAAAGCCACGGCUAACUACGUGCCAGCAGCCGCGGUAAUACGUAGGUGGCAAGCGUUAUCCGGAUUUAUUGGGCGUAAAGGGAACGCAGGCGGUCUUUUAAGUCUGAUGUGAAAGCCUUCGGCUUAACCGGAGUAGUGCAUUGGAAACUGGGAGACUUGAGUGCAGAAGAGGAGAGUGGAACUCCAUGUGUAGCGGUGAAAUGCGUAGAUAUAUGGAAGAACACCAGUGGCGAAAGCGGCUCUCUGGUCUGUAACUGACGCUGAGGUUCGAAAGCGUGGGUAGCAAACAGGAUUAGAUACCCUGGUAGUCCACGCCGUAAACGAUGAAUGCUAAGUGUUGGAGGGUUUCCGCCCUUCAGUGCUGCAGCUAACGCAAUAAGCAUUCCGCCUGGGGAGUACGACCGCAAGGUUGAAACUCAAAGGAAUUGACGGGGGCCCGCACAAGCGGUGGAGCAUGUGGUUUAAUUCGAAGCAACGCGAAGAACCUUACCAGGUCUUGACAUCUUUUGACAAUCCUAGAGGUAGGACUUUCCCUUCGGGGACAAAAUGACAGGUGGUGCAUGGUUGUCGUCAGCUCGUGUCGUGAGAUGUUGGGUUAAGUCCCGCAACGAGCGCAACCCUUAUUGUUAGUUGCCAGCAUUAAGUUGGGCACUCUAGCAAGACUGCCGGUGACAAACCGGAGGAAGGUGGGGAUGACGUCAAAUCAUCAUGCCCCUUAUGACCUGGGCUACACACGUGCUACAAUGGACGGUACAACGAGUCGCAAGACCGCGAGGUUUAGCAAAUCUCUUAAAGCCGUUCUCAGUUCGGAUUGUAGGCCGCAACUCGCCUACAUGAAGUCGGAAUCGCUAGUAAUCGCGGAUCAGCAUGCCGCGGUGAAUACGUUCCCGGGCCUUGUACACACCGCCCGUCACACCAUGAGAGUUUGUAACACCCAAAGCCGGUGGGGUAACCUUUUGGAGCCAGCCGUCUAAGGUGGGAUAGAUGAUUAGGGUG